UACGAAGGGGGCUAGCGUUGUUCGGAAUUACUGGGCGUAAAGCGCACGUAGGCGGAUCGAUCAGUCAGGGGUGAAAUCCCAGAGCUCAACUCUGGAACUGCCUUUGAUACUGUCGAUCUAGAGUAUGGAAGAGGUGAGUGGAAUUCGAAGUGUAGAGGUGUAAAGUUCGAUAGAUAUUCGGAGGAACACCAGUGGCGAAGG
rnacentral:rRNA from 1 species